CCUCAUUUUAUAAAUAAGGAAACCACAGAGGCUUAGAGAGGGAAGUGAGCUAACCUGGGUCAUAACAGCAUGAGUGGGGGGAACGUCUCAAACAUACCUGGGUGUGGCUCUGUUUACACACACACACACACACACACACACACACACACACACACACACACACUAUCUGCCUAGCAGAGGCCACUCACACACACACUAUCUGCCUAGCAGAGGCUUGGAUCCCAGAGAGUUCCCCUGUCUUCUGUCUGGUACACUUGGAGGGAAGAUCGCCUGAGCUGGACCAAAUGUCCCUGCGCCCUGGUCAUUCUGAGGACACUAGAGGCCAGCCUGAUUUAAGAGACUAAUAUAUGCAUGGCCCUUCAUUCUCAAAGCUGCUGAGGACUCUGCAUGGCCUUCUCACAUCCAGACCUCAAGUCCAGGCAUGAAGGUUGAGCAGGGGGCCACUGGGAGUGUCCCAGCGGCUGGAAGGCACCUCCAGCUGCAGAUUCAUCGAUGCUGGGCAUAACCUGGUUAAUCUCCCAUCCCAUCCAUUCCAGGG
rnacentral:lncRNA from 1 species